UGGUCGGGCUGUAGAUUCUCCCUGUCCAGUCCUGUCCUGUUCCAGAGAGAGAGAGAGAGAGAGAGAGACAUGGCGAGGCAGCGAGGGCCCAAACUGAUUAAGUCAUUGAUAGCAGAUUGCAAAUACAGCAUGUGAGACAGCUGCAGGAGAGGGUGUGGCCCUCCCCUAAAGCAGGCCUGGUUGCUCAUAAUCCCAGGCAUAUGCUGUCCCUCUCAGGCCCGCUUUUAUGAUCUCUGCCUGUCACACCACCGUCCAGUUGUGCUCCCACUAUAUAUAGUGGAUCCAGUCAAUCUUUACACACACGCUGUGACUCAAUAGUUUAUUUCUCUUCUUAUUCUGGCACAUUCACUUAAAAGUAAUCCACAAACUGAGCAGGUACCCUAACUUCUUUCUGAGCAAAGACGUCACAGGGAUUGUUCUCAGAUGGGUUUUCAAGUACUCUUAUCAGAAACAUGAGGUGAAAUACGAUUUAACAACUUUGCAGCCCUCUGGAUUUUACAGCUCUGAUAAGAAUUUCUCACCUCAAUCAACCUCAAGACUCUCAGGCUGGUCCGUCGUGUUGUGAGGGAACACAAAAUUUAUUAUGAUCCGCUUUGUCAUGCACAUACCCGUCCAUGAGCUCAGCCUUUGCGGAUAUAAAAUGUUAAACUGCAAAUAAAAAAAAUUCCUUCUGGAAAAAUCCGGGGUGAAAAUUCCCCUCCCAAACACAGCUGAAAUUUAACUGGCAUCUUAACCGAAAGCACUCUGAAAAAUAAGGUUUUAAUUUACCCCCAACAUGACUAUUAAUUGAGUAAUAAAACAAAAACACACUUUAAUCUGAAACAUAUCACAAAUAGAGCCUGUUUCCUGUGAGAAAGUCUUAAUCCUGGAUUUUUAUGACAAACAUUUAACAGAAUGUGAAACAACUUCUUCUUUAAGUCGUAUUUAUUUCUCAAAAAACAGAAUGUACACAGUGUAAAACUCUACAAAACAUCAUUGAAAUAUCAGUAUAUUUAGUUGACAUAAUAGCAAAUUAAAAAACAGAAACAUUGGACUUAAAUGUUUCUUUGAUACUGGAGCUAAACUCAAACUUAUUAUAGCAGUAGUUGAGAUUUGGUCCAUGAUUUGGUUUCUUGAAUUAAAAGGUGAUAACUUGGUCAUCAGUUUAAGUCAUGUUUAAUGGAGGUCAUAAUCAAACAGCAAGUAUUAUAAUGUGUAAAAGUGUUGGAUGACACACACAAAUUUGAAAAACAGAAGCCACAGAGUUUAGUUAUCCACAAACAAUGAGACAAAGAAAGUCUCGCUCUGUGUUCUGGCUCCAGAGAACAUUUUUCACACCGGCCGGCCUCAUUUAUUUCACAGUCAGGAUUUGACUCAGGGAGCUGAAUCAACUCCAGCCCUCUCCUGAUCAGCUCAGCACUCUCCGUUCUUUUGUUUGAAUCCCCUCGUGGCAUCCAGGACAAUUUUUAGCUCGUGUCCAGGCGGGUAGUGAGUAUAAGAUGACUACAUCAGCAGUCAGUUUCCUCUCUGCUCUGUUUUCCUUCAGGAGGCUAAAAGGUGUCGGCGGAGUGCGGCCACACUUCGCUCUGGUCUUGUCCUGUGUCCUAUCUUUACUGGAUUCCCUGUUGGCUGUGUGCCUCCCCGCUUAGGAAACCUGUAAGGAAAGUGAGCAAUGAGGCUGAAUAACAAGAACACUGGGCUCUCUGACUAACUUGAAUAUCAUAACUGACUAACGAUUACAUGGAAAGUUGAAAAGAGAGAAGUAACAGCAGGUUCCUGCUGGUAUGAAUAGCAGAGACAUCAUCUUUGACUUAAAAUUACAAUAUUGUAUGUAUGUUUGUGAGCCUACAUGGAAAUAUAGUUUUAUAAUUCACCUUGAAAAUAGACAGAUUGAGGAAGUAAAUUUAUCUAGGUGUUAAUUUAUUCAGAGUACUUAGAACAAGUUAGUAUACUAGCAAGAUAUUAAGAAUAUUAGCUGAAUUCAAAGUGGAGAAAAAUUCGCAAAUGUGCUCCAAAGUAAUAUUUAAGAACUAUUAAAAGAGGGUUAAUGUGUGAAUGUUAGGUGAAUUAACAUUAAAGUUGUUAGCCAAAAGCUUCGACAUUGAAAUAGCCCGUUUUGAUAACAAAUAAAUAUGAAAAUAGUAAAAAGUAACUUAUGUGUUUGGAAAUUUAGCUAAAACUAACUUGAAAUAGGCUAGUUAGCUAACAGAGAAACAGAAGAAUUGUUUAAAGUAGCUUACGUGAACUUUUCUAACAGUUAGCUCACAAAGGAUUUAUUGUUUUACAGUUGUAAUUUGUAAUAUAACUGGUGUGCCGUUGAAAGGUGUGCGUGAGAAUGGCUUCAUGCACAAGACAAAAUCAGAAUCAGAAUCUCUUUAUUGUCCCAAAAGGGAAAUUAGUAUUGCAGCCGGAGCACACAAAGACAGGGUAUACGGUGACAUACAGUAAGAAUAGUCUAAAAGUCAAACAUGAUAAAAAACAACACAAUAAAAGAAACACCAAACAUAUACACAGCAUCACUAAAAAAUAAUGUUCAGUCCAGAGACAAUACCAAAACUGCAAAGGAUAACUGCCUUAGUAAACUGUGAAAAAGUGAGAAAUGCGGAUGUGCAAAAAUACAAUAAACAGUGCAAAGAAAAACAUGUGCAACCUGAGGCCUAAUUACCAUUCAGUGAAUGAAUCGCUCUAGAGAUAAAUGAGAUCUAAAAUCUCUUAGUCGUCCCCGUAGCAACCCGAUAACAAUGGCCUGAUGGCAAAAGCUCGGAUUCAUAGUGCAGAGGGUGGUUAGGACAAUCUAGAAUUACAUUAGCCUUCCUCAUGACCUGUCUGUAAUAGAUAAACAUGACCUACCCUACUGAGAGAAAGUGCUCCCCCUAUAUACCCUCCCCAAUCAGGUGCUACCAUAUGCAGGGGUACUAAAAACAUGAAACUUUAUUUUUACUUAUUUAAAACCCCAAAACCUUGGAAUUUAAAUUGCUACAACCCAAGACUAAACUACCAUAAGUGACUAUGACUUUACUUAGCCGCAUUCUCCCAGUAAUUUCUCUAAAGGAAUAUUGCACAUGGCUCUGUUCACCCCCCAUACCAAUCUGCCAGUUGGAACCCUCCCGGCACUUUAAAAAGGCUGUUUGUUCAACGGGGACUCUUUUAGCAGCACACCCUGGAAGUGGAGACAGAAAGGUACAGGUAAGUCAGGUUAAACUUCAUAUUGCACCUUCCCUGUUUUAAUCAACGUACAAAUCUGCUUUUCCAAGUUAAACUAUGUUUCUCACAGGUGGUGCGGCUAAAUCAACCCCUGGCCACCACAUGAACAGCAAUCAUCUGUGAGCAACACAUUAUUAAUCUGAAUAAAAGGAUC
rnacentral:lncRNA from 1 species